CAGUCGCCGCGGGAACACGAAGGGUGCAAGCGUUACUCGGAAUUACUGGGCGUAAAGCGUGCGUAGGUGGUGGUUUAAGUCCGUUGUGAAAGCCCUGGGCUCAACCUGGGAAUUGCAGUGGAUACUGGGUCACUAGAGUGUGGUAGAGGAUAGUGGAAUUUCCGGUGUAGCAGUGAAAUGCGUAGAGAUCGGAAGGAACAUCUGUGGCGAAGGCGACUAUCUGGGCCAACACUGACACUGAGGCACGAAAGCGUGGGGAGCAAACAGGAUUAGAUACCCCUGUAGUCCUGUCUCUUAUACA
rnacentral:rRNA from 1 species